CCUACGGGUGGCAGCAGUAGGGAAUAUUGGGGAAUGGGCGAAAGCCUGACCCAGCAACGCCGCGUGCGCGAAGAAGGCCUUCGGGUUGUAAAGCGCUUUUCUCAGGGAUGAGGAAGGACAGUACCUGAGGAAGAAGUCUCGGCUAACUACGUGCCAGCAGCCGCGGUAAC
rnacentral:rRNA from 1 species